AUUGAACGCUGGCGGCAGGCUUAACACAUGCAAGUCGAGCGGAGACUUCGGUCUUAGCGGCGAACGGGUGAGUAAUACCUAGGAAUCUGCCUAUUAGUGGGGGAUAACGAAUCGAAAGGUUCGCUAAUACCGCAUACGCCCUGAGGGGGAAAGCGGGGGAUUCUUCGGAACCUCGCGCAAUUGGAGCGGCCGAUGUCAGAUUAGCUUGUUGGUGAGGUAAAGGCUCACCAAGGCGACGAUCUGUAGCGGGUCUGAGAGGAUGAUCCGCCACACUGGGACUGAGACACGGCCCAGACUCCUACGGGAGGCAGCAGUGGGGAAUUUUGGACAAUGGGGGCAACCCUGAUCCAGCCAUGCCGCGUGAGUGAAGAAGGCCU
rnacentral:rRNA from 1 species